UACGUAGGGGGCAAGCGUUGUCCGGAAUCAUUGGGCGUAAAGCGCGCGUAGGCGGCUUUGUAAGUUAGAGGUGAAAGCCCGGGGCUCAACCCCGGAACUGCCUUUAAGACUGCAUCGCUUGAAUCCGGGAGAGGUGAGUGGAAUUCCGAGUGUAGAGGUGAAAUUCGUAGAUAUUCGGAAGAACACCAGUGGCGAAGGCGGCUCACUGGACCGGCAUUGACGCUGAUGUGCGAAAGCGUGGGGAGCAAACAGG
rnacentral:rRNA from 1 species